rnacentral:rRNA from 1 species
AUUGAACGCUAGCGGGAUGCCUUACACAUGCAAGUCGAACGGAGUGGCGAACGGGUGAGUAAUGUAUCGGAACGUGCCCAGUAGCGGGGGAUAACUACGCGAAAGCGUAGCUAAUACCGCAUACUAUUGGAGCGGCCGAUAUCGGAUUAGCUAGUUGGUGGGGUAACGGCUCACCAAUGCGACGAUCCGUAGCUGUGUUGAGAGGACGACCAGCCAAACUGGGACUGUGAUACGGCCCAUACUCCUAAGGGAGGCAGUAGUGGGGAAUGUUGUAAAAUGGGGGAAAACCUGAUCCAGCCAUCCAGCGUUUGCGAUGAAGGCCUUCGGGUUGUAAAGCACUUUUGGCAGGAAAGCGGUACCUGCAGAAUAAGCACCGGCUAACUACGUGCCAGCAGCCGCGGUAAUAC